rnacentral:lncRNA from 1 species
UGGCUGUCCUGGAACUCACUCUGUAGACCAGGUUGGACUGAAACUCAGAAAUCUGCCUGCCUCUGCCUCCCAAGUAUUGGGAUUAAAGGCAUGUGCCACUACCUCCUGGCCAGUUUUUUUUUUUUAAUUUUGGUGUAUGAUGUUUUUAUUUCCAAGUUUUUCAUAAUAAAGUUAAUAAAAGGAGACAAUCACACAUAAACGUGCACAUAUAAAAUACAUACUACAGUUAUACAUACAUGCAUAUGCUCAUGCAAUAACUUAACAUUACCCUUUUUAUUGAAUAUAGAGUCUUUCCUCAUAAAGUAUAUUCUGACCACAGUUUUCCAGUCCAGUUUCACUUUUGUGUGGAAUAUCAGUUUUCUCAGACCAUUUGUUAAAGGUAUUUUCCUUCCCUCUUGUAUCCUCUUACUACCCUUGCCAAAGUUAGUUGACUACACAGGGUUUGAUUUUCAGACUCUAUGCUGAUUCACUGUUUUAUACUAUUUUGAUUACUGAAGUUUCUUAAAACAGUUUUAAGUCAGGAAGUACUGUCCCUCCUACAUUGUUUUCUUUGUUUUGUUUUGUUUUGUUUUUUAAUUUAAGGCAUUUUUAUUAGAUAUUUUCUUCAUUUACAUUUCAAAUGCUAUCCCCAACACCCCCUAUACCUUCCCCCUACCCUACUCCCAACCCACCCACUCCCACUUCCUGGCAUUCCCCUGUACUGGGGCAUAUGAUCUUCUCAAGAAGAAGGGCCUCUCCUCCCAAUGAUGGCCGACUAGGCCAUCCUCUGCUACACAUGCAAGUAGAGACACAACUCUUGUGGGUACUGAUUAUUUCAUUUUGUUGUUCCUCCUAUAGGGUUGCAGACCCCUUUAGCUCCUUGGGUAUUUUAUCUACCUCCUGCAUUAGGAGCCCUGUGUUCCAUCCAAAAGAUGAGUGUGAGCAUCCACUUCUGUAUUUGCCAGGCAAUGGCAUAGCCUCAUAAGAGAGAGCUAUGUCAGGGUCCUGUCAGCAAAAUCUUGCUAGCAUAUGCAAUAGUGUCUGGGUUUGGUGAUUGUAUAUGGGAUGGAUCCCUAGCUGGGACAGUCUCUGGGUGGUUCUUUCUUCUGUCUCUGCACCGAACUUUGUCUAUGUAGCUCCUUCCAUGAGUAUUUUGUUCCCCAUUCUAAGAAGGAGCAAAGUAUCCAUACUUUGGUCUUCCUUCUUGAGUUUCAUGUGUAUCUUGGAUAUUCUAAGUUUCUGGGCUAAUAUCCACUUAUCAGUGAGUGUAUAUCAUGUGUGUUCUUUUGUGAUUGAGUUACCUCACUCAGGAUGAUAUCCUCCAGAUCCAUCCAUUUGCCUAAGAAUUUCAUAAAUUCAUUGUUUUUAAUUGCUGAGUAGUACUCCACUGUGUAAAUUUACAUUUUCUGUAUCCAUUCCUCUGUUGAAGGACAUCUGCAUUAUUUUCAGCUUCUGGCUAUUAUGACUAAGCUGCUAUGAACAUAGUGUCCUUAUUACAAGUUGGAACAUCUUCUGGGUAUAUGCCCAGGAUAGGAAUUGCUGGAUCUUCCUGUAGUACUAUGUCCAAUUUUCUGAGGAACCACCAGACUGGUUUCCAGAGUUGUUAUACCAGCUUGCAAUCCCACCAACAAUAGAGGAAUGUCCCUCUUUCUCCACAGCGACAGACAGAUAGACCAAUGGAAUAGAAUUGAAAAAAUGAACCCACACACCUAUGGUCACUUGAUCUUUGACAAGGGAGCUAAAACCAUCCAGUGGAAAAAAAGCAUUUUCAACAAAUGGUGCUGGCACAACUGGCGGUUAUCAUGUAGAAGAAUGCAAAUUGAUCCAUUCGUAUCUCCUUGUACUAAGGUCAAAUCUAAAUGGAUCAAGGAACUCCACAUAAAACCAGGACAGUGAAACUUAUAGAGGAGAAAGUGGGAAAAAGCCUUGAAGAUAUUGGCACAGGGGAAAAAUUCUUGAACAGAACAGCAAUGGCUUGUGCUGUAAGAUCGAGAGUCAACAAAUAGGACCUCAUAAAAUUGCAAAGCUUCUGUAAGGCAAAAGACACUGUCAAUAAGACAAAAAAGGCCACCAACAGAUUGGGAAAGGAUCUUUAACAAUCCUAAAUCAGAGAGGAGACUAAUAGCCGGUGUAUAUAUAAUGAACUCAAGAAGAUGAACUCCAGAAAAUCAAAUAACCCUAUUAAAAAAUGGGGUACAGAACUAAACAAAGAAUUCUCAACUGAGGGAUACUGAAGGGCUGAGAAGCACCUGAAAAAGUGUUCAACAUCCUUAAUCAUCAGGGAAAUGCAAAUCAAAACAACCCUGAGAUUCCACCUCACACCAGUCAGAAUGGCAAAAAUUCAGGUGACAUCAGAUGCUGGCAAGGAUGUGGAGAAAGAGGGAUACUCAUACAUUGUUUUUUAUUCCCGGUGUUGCUUUGGCUAGUCAGGUUUUGUAGAUCUGUACAAUUUUUUCUAUUUCCAUGGAAAACGCCAUUGGUGUUUUAAUGGGGAUUUGCCACAAUAUGGAUAGACGUCUAGGUCCUAAGUGGGAAAAAAAUAAAAGCCAGACAUAGAAAAAACAUCACAUGCUCACUUACAGGUACUCUUUUUUUCAAAAUCAAAUAGAAGUCAGAUUUAAUGGUACAUACCUUUAAUCUCAGCACUCAAGAAGCUGAACCCAGCCUAAUCUAAAUAAAGAGUUACAGGCCAGGGUACUUAGAGAGACCCUGUCUCAAAAAAAAAAAAAAAAGUCAAACAGAGAGACAGAGAACAAGAAUGAUGAUGAGUGAGGAGGAAAGGGAGAAAAAAGAAGCUGAUGUGCUCAAUGCAUAGCAAGAACAAGUUUCCCUACCUGCCUAGCAUGCCUGCAGAGCACGAGCUAAGCAGGAGAGUUAGACAAAAGACAUGUUGAAUUAGUGAUUUCGUGAAGCAAAUGUUUUUAGCUGUUAGAGGUGUUUCACCCUCUGUAUAUCUUAUCAAACUGUAGGCAUUAAAAAUAUUCAAUAACAUUUGUUUUUAAAUAAUACUUAAAUCAUUUCAAAUAGCAGAAGAAAGCGGCAACUGAAAAUGGAAGGUUUUGCCCAUCCCUUUUAAGAAAUAAAAAUUAUUUUAUUUUUUUCAUAGGUAGUUUUGCCUGUAUGUGUAUCUGUGCACCGUGUGUGUACAGUGCCAACAGAGGCCAGAAGAGGUCAUUGAAUCCUUUGGAACUGGAGAUACAGAUGGUUGUGAGCUGCCAUGUAGAUUCUAGGAACUGAACCUGGGUCUUCUGGAAGAACAGCUGAUGCUCUUAAUUUCUGAGCCAUCUCUCCAGCCCCUUUUGCCCACUCUUAAAGGGAAUUGAUGUAUCUUUAGAGGCCAAGUCUUAGGUAACAUAUAAUGAAACAAUCAUUUCAAACAAAGAUGGCAGGCCAGGCAUUGUGGUGCACACUUUAUUCCCUGCCACUUGGAAGGCAGAAGUGGGUGGCUGUCCAUGAGUUCAAGGUCACUCUAAUAGUGAGUCCCAGGACAACCAGGGCUACACAGUAAGACCCUGUCUCAAAAUU